AUUGAACGCUGGCGGCAGGCCUAACACAUGCAAGUCGAGCGGAAUCAGCGAGCCUGCUCCCGGACUCAGCGGUGGCCGGGGGGGUUAUGCCUAUGAGUCUGGCAGGUCGUCGGGGAAAUCGUCCGGAUACGGGAGCUACUACUGCAUACGUCCUUAUGUCGACAGGGGGUGAGCCUCCGAUCUCAUGGUUUCAGGUGAGCGUAGGUCCGAUCCGCUAGUUGGAUGGGUAAAGGCCUACCAAGGCGACGAUCCGUAACUGGUCUGAGAGGAUGAUCAGUCACACUGGAACUGAGACACGGUCCAGACUCCUACGGGAGGCAGCAGUGGGGAAUAUUGGACAAUGGGCGAAAGCCUGAUCCAGCCAUGCCGCGUGUGUGAAGAAGGUCUUCGGAUUGUAAAGCACUUUAAGUGGGGAGGAAGGGCAGUAAGUUAAUACCUUGCUGUUUUGACGUUACCAACAGAAUAAGCACCGGCUAACUUCGUG
rnacentral:rRNA from 1 species